GGUCUCUUUGUUUUCAACAAACCAUCUCAACAUAGGCCUACCUUAGACACCCGUUCAACUUCCCUGGGCGGAAAUUACACUCAGCUUCAUAACAAUGGAAUCGAGGAUUCUUGUUUCGCGUAAGUAUUCCAAGAUUUGCGGAAUAUUCUCAAAAUACCAUAUAAAAAUUUCAGGAAUCACAAAGAGGGACAACCACUCAGCUCGUUAGCCGUCUCUAAAAUGGCCGCCGCGACGAACAUGCAAUCAUCACGUGAAGUGUUAAAUGACGGAAACUGAUAGCUAUGAUCGUGUAAGAAGAGGCAUUCGUACUUCGUACCUAUAGAGUAUACGUUCAAGGUUUGACAGUACUCUUUUAUAGUGCUCGGAAGGACAAAGGAACUUAGCUGAAGCUCCCCAUGUGUAUUGCAACAAUUCUCACUUGCAGAAGCCAGGCAACAUACUACAUCCUCCUGAUUAAAAAAAAAAAAAAAAAAAAAAAAAAAAACAUGAGAGAAUAGUGAGGUUACAUUGUCUGCCAGUUAAGAGUUCAUUGUAGAAGGUUUUCAUGUUCUUCGCAGAUCCAUAUUUAUCAAAAUCAGAAUUUCUGCAGUUGUGAUGGAAGGUUUUACAAUCUUGAUAGGAAAACCAUUGGACAUGCACACAUUUCUUUUCUGCAAGUGGUUUCCUGAGAUACACCAGGUAGAUGAAGAACCGACUCCUGCAAUAUGUUAGCCUUGAGCUUGCCACACUCCUGUCCUACUUAAAAUGGAACAAGAUUCUUGGUUUUUGGGUGACAACUCUGUUCUUGCACACUGUUGUGCCAUUCUCCACUUCAGCAUUUGGUGGUCUCUGGCACUAGGCAGAAGUAUGAGACCUUUGAAUUUGUUACUCAGUUUUCUGUAUAGUGGGAUCCUGUGCAUAAUCAACAGACAUCAGACAUCUUUAAGGCAAUUAAGGUGUACUUGCUGGUGUAUAAUGUUGGAACUUCAUCUGAUAGACGCAGGCACAUUGAAGUAGAGGACUGAUUGAUUAAGGAUUGGCUUCAGUCCUAUAUCUGGAUGGAAAUAAUAUGAAGUAUCAUGCAGUUGUUGCAGCAAAGAACGAGGGCUUUUGAUUUUCUGAUUCAGAUAGAAAACUGAGCUCAGAUUGCAAAUUUCAUCACUUUUCUAAAUAGGCAUUGUUAUGGUAUCUGAAUAAAAGGAAAAACUAAAUUGAAAGACGUACAUUUCCGUCAUUAUUUACAAAAAUGGGUAAAGUUUAUAGGAAAUGUAUACAAAACAGAUCAUUGUCAAAGGAAAGCCCCCUACAGGCAGCACACUAUACAAAAUAGAUAUACAGACAUUUACAUGCUUAGCAUAAGGAUAAAAAAUACACAACAGGAUUUAUAAAUACAUCAUAUGCACAUAAGACCGCUAAUAUGUGCUGUCAGUGUUGUACAUAGUUAUGGCACAUGUAACCAUUAGAAGGAGCAAGAAGGAACAUUAUUUUGAUAAUCUAAUUUCAGAACAGGAACUCGGCCCUUUACACACAGUGAAGCCAGCAGAGUUGAUCAAAUCCAUAUACGUACAACCGUAUUUUCCCUAACGUAGAGGUAUAAGUAGCUAUUAGUGGCCUCGUGAUUGAUUAUGUAAAUAAAUAAGUGAAUAAAUAAAUAUAUAAUUUUUUAAGUUUCAUAGUCACCACAAGAAUCGGUGAAUGCAAACAAAUUUCUCAAGUUGGAGAUGCAAGAUAUUCUUGUAAGGAACGCAGUGUCUUCUGAUAGAGGCUGCAGCUGAGCACUGCAGGGAGGUGUGGUGCACUGCAUUGACGUGAUGAGAAAGUGGCUGGCCUUGGGACGCCCUCAGAGACUCAAAAGUAAGCCCCAUACCAUCGGCAGCAUCCAAAUGCGCACCUGCUGAUAAAAGGGCGUUCACUAUACCCGUGGGGCACUCUACGUCAUCGGUUAGAGGGUGGAGGGGCGUGCUGCCCUCAAAGUCUGUGGUACAAGGAUUGGCUCCAGUUUUCAGAAGAAAGUUUACUACUACUUCCAGACUGGGGAAGAUAUGGCUGGGCACUGAUUCUCCGUACAUCUGGUCUCCUCUGGUUCAAGCUAUAUGCAGAAGUGUCGCGCCCAUGUUGUUCCUAGGAUCUGCCUUCACAAACCUGUAUACAGCUUCUUUCACCAUGUGCCACUGCAAGGAUGAGACAUCAGGGAAUGGCUUUGCUACUGCAGAUAAGAAAUGCAUAGUUAUGUAGACGACAUGGUAAGCCUGAAUGGCACGUUUUGCACUCUCUGCUCUCUUCAAUUCCAAGAGGAUCAUCGUGAUACUUUCUGUGCACAUUUCGAAGGCGCGCAAGAAAUCCUCAAAAUACGUCGCUGGGCUCAAGCCUGCGUACAGUGGGAUCUGGCUGGUGGUCACCCGUUCAACUUCCCUGGACGGAAAUUACACUGCUUCAAAACCAUGGCAAACGAGGAUUCUUGUUUCGCGUCAGUAUUGCAAGAUUUGCGGAAUAUUCUCAAUAUACCACAUAAAAAUUAGAGGAAUCACAAAGGGACAACCAGUCAACCACUCAACUCGUUAGGCAUCUCUAAAACGGCCGCCGCGACGAACGUGCAAUCAUCAUGGCAGAGGAAUACGUGAAGUGUUAACUGACGAAACUGAUAUCCAUGAUCGUGUUAGAAGAGGCAUUAUUUCGUACUUUGUACCUAUAUCAUACGUUCAAGGUUUGAGACAGUACUCUUUUAUAGUGCUCGGAAGGACAAAGGAACUUAGCUGAAGCUCCCCAUAUGUAUUGUAACAAUUCUCACUUGCAGAAAGUAAGCACUGGUUUUGUUAGAUACUGACACAUUUUCAUAAAGUAGGCGAACAGAGUUUCCUAUUUCUAUUAUAUACUGUGACGGCAAAGUAUCAAGAAUUGUGACAAUAGUUAGAAAAAAAAAAAUGCUCCAUGUUACGCAAUCAUAGAAUUAUAAUAGGCUAAGUAGAAUAAUAAAAGAAGUCAUAUUUCGAUAGACUUGUAUUAAAAUGCUGCAUGAAUGUCUACCUAGUUAGGUUAUGGGCGCUGUGACAGUUAGGUUAGGGAUGAGUACGGUGUAUCCUAGACUAAGGGCAGCAUGCCAUUAGGCAUUUUGCAUUACAGGAACUAGUUAAGAGAGAGAGGUGUGCUUUAGCGAUAUAUCCAACCCCCAAAUAGUAUUUUUUAUUUUUUAAAUUUGUACUAGACUAUGCCAAGGUUAGAACUGGUAUGUAGUACCAUAGCUUACUUAGGCUAGUAAGUGUGGGCGUAGCCCAAACUACUCCCAGUCAUUUGUGGGUUAUAGGGUAAAUGACCGAAGUGCGACCAGUUCACUCGAAAAAGCCAACUUUUUUCACUACAUUUAAUUGGUGAAAUAACCAUAUAAUUAAAUCUUUAAGCAUA